rnacentral:rRNA from 1 species
CCUACGGGUGGCAGCAGUGGGGAAUAUUGCACAAUGGGGGAAACCCUGAUGCAGCGACGCCGCGUGAGUGAAGAAGUAUUUCGGUAUGUAAAGCUCUGUCAGCAGGGAAGAAAAUGACGGUAACUGAAUAAGAAGCCCCGGCUAACCACGUGCCAGCAGGCGCGGUAAUAAGUAGGGGGGAAUCGUUAGCCGGGUUUACUGGGGGGAAAGGGAGCGGAGAGGGGAGCCCAAGUCUGGAGUGAAAUGCCGGGGCUUAACCCCGGGACUGCUUUUGAAACUGUGCAGCUUGAGUGCAGGAGAGGUAGGUGGAAUUCCGAGUGUAGCGGUGAAAUGCGUAGAUAUUAGGAGGAACACCAGUGGCGAAGGCGGCUUACUGGACUGUAACUGACGUUGAGGCUCGAAAGCGUGGGGAGCAAACAGGAUUAGAUACCCUUGUAGUC